GGAGCGAAUAGAGUACGGCUGUUGCUCUCCGGUUUCUGAAGUAUUAUCAGAAAAGACUUUCCUGGCUUAUUUUAAUGGACCAAGGCCCUGGAAAAUGCUGGCUGGAGUCAUUAUCACUGAAGAGAAAGUAGUCUUCAUAUGAUUCUUCAGUAAGCAAGACUGCUAUGCUCUUAUUGCUGUACCAUGUCAACAUGAAGCCUCCACAAUAACUGGAACAAAUAAGAGUGGAAUGGAAGAAUUUCUGAACUAGGCAUGAAUCCACCCGUGUAGAAGGAUCAUUAUAAUUGGUUAUUUGAGUGAACAAUAAUGAUGAUCAUGAAGAGACCAGAGAGGAACUGAAGAUUUUCCAAGGGGUUAUUUCAAGCCCAGUUCCUGAUAACAGUACAGUGGGCCUUUUGAGCCCCCUCCAGCCUCAAGCUUCUCCUCAGGGGAGAUUUUUGAGCGCCCAGGGGAUGAAGACAUCAAGGAUCUUGAAAAACAACCAAGUGACUUUGUAUAUUGGAAUAAGCACCAAAUGGAAAGACCUUCUACAACCCUGAUGGAAAGAACCCUACCAGUUAUAGUACAUGUACUUGUACCACUGUGGAGAGCAAUUUGGAGAUUCCUCAAAAUUUACAAAUAGAACUGCCAUAUGA